CGGAAGUCAAUUUCCUUGAUUAGUUGAUUUCGUUCAAACGCAGUCAGAAUUCAGAAGAAAGUUUCUUUUUUAUUCGAAUAAUUUCGUGGAAAUCAUAUAAUAAGACGUGAUUUAGUAUUUCCGAAUAUUAAUGGUGCUUUUCAUCAAGUGUACAGUAUCAAUCAUUGCUACAAAUUCCAAUAAAUGUAUAAAAUGGUAUGUAUCAAUUAAGCUUGUUUUUAAUACGAAUUUUAUGUAAAUUAUGAUCGUUUAUAACUGGUAUUAGAACAAAACUAUAUGGCCAGUAAGACCCAUAGCCC
rnacentral:lncRNA from 1 species